ACCCAUUAAGUGCUGGGACUGUGACUGUC
rnacentral:piRNA from 1 species